UACGAAGGGGGCUAGCGUUGCUCGGAAUGACUGGGCGUAAAGGGCGCGUAGGCGGCUUGCACCGUUGGAUGUGAAAUUCCUGGGCUUAACCUGGGGGCUGCAUUCGAUACGUGUGGGCUUGAGUGCGGAAGAGGGUCGUGGAAUUCUCGGUGUAGCGGUGAAAUGCGUAGAUAUCGAGAGGAACACCUGCGGCGAAGGCGGGUUGCUGGGCUGACACUGACGCUGAAGCGCGAAAGCUAGGGGAGCGAACGGG
rnacentral:rRNA from 1 species